GAUGAACGCUGGCGGCGUGCCUAAUACAUGCAAGUCGAGCGAACAGACGAGGAGCUUGCUCCUCUGACGUUAGCGGCGGACGGGUGAGUAACACGUGGAUAACCUACCUAUAAGACUGGGAUAACUUCGGGAAACCGGAGCUAAUACCGGAUAAUAUAUUGAACCGCAUGGUUCAAUAGUGAAAGACGGUUUUGCUGUCACUUAUAGAUGGAUCCGCGCCGCAUUAGCUAGUUGGUAAGGUAACGGCUUACCAAGGCAACGAUGCGUAGCCGACCUGAGAGGGUGAUCGGCCACACUGGAAUUGAAACACGGACCAGACUCCUACGGGAGGCAGCAGUAGGGAAUCUUCCGCAAUGGGCGAAAGCCUGACGGAGCAACGCCGAGUGAGUGAUGAAGGUCUUCAGGUCGUAAAACGCUGUUAUUAGGGAAGAACAAAUGUGUAAGUAACUAUGCACGUCUUGACGGUACCUAAUCAGAAAGCCACGGCUAACUACGUG
rnacentral:rRNA from 1 species